UAAGAGAUUUUGUUUAAUGUUUUAUUAAAUAACAUGCUUUCCCUAAAUAGGUUUGCGAAUGUACAAUGAUGUUCAUAUAUUUUAUACUACAUGUAUCUUGUCACUACACAUGCACGUGAGCCUUGCUGACUUCUAAGAAAAUGACUGGCAUAAGGAGGGUGCCACAGGAAACCUCACCUUUGCUGAGUUAGCUGAGUCUGCCGUUGGGAACAGGAACCAACUGGCUUCUGUUGCCCUUAAGAUAGGCUUGACCAGUUCCUUACUGACAGUUGAACGUAUAUGUUUUAUGCUUGUGUAAGGAGUGGUAUGUUAUCUCUUCCUACAUGUGUCUGUGACGCAAACAUGCUUGAGUAUAAAUAAAGCUGACUCCAAAGCCUCGGGACGGAGCCGCCGGAUCCUGACGUCGUGACUACCUGCACUGUAAACCACCGCUUCUAGCGAAGCAAGGAAAAGCCCAGAGUCGUAAAUUCGCCUAUUGGCCAGUGUCUUAUACAGGUCCACGACGACAGGACUCGGUGACGCCGGAAAAA